rfam:Stegodyphus mimosarum contig44481, whole genome shotgun sequence.
GCCUUCGUGGUGUAGCGGUCAGCACGCUCGACCGUAACCGAGAGAUCCGUGGUUCGAUUCCCGGCGAAGGCG